GCUCGCAUAGCUCAGUUGGUAGAGCGCGUGACUAGUAAGAGUAUCCACCCUCGGUCAAUCACGAGGUCUGCGGUUCAAAUCCGCAUGUGAGCA
rfam:Penicillium antarcticum strain IBT 31811 PENANT_contig033, whole genome shotgun sequence.